AUUUAUAUAGUAUAAAAAUUAUUUUUGACUUCCAAUCAAAAGACCUAACAACGUUAGUAUAAAUAUUGAAC
rnacentral:tRNA from 1 species